GACGGAGGGUGCAAGCGUUGUUCGGAAUUACUGGGCGUAAAGGGCGCGUAGGCGGUCUGUUAAGUUCGGUGUGAAAGCCCCCGGCUCACCUGGGGAACUGCGCCGGAAACCGACAGACUCGAGUACCGGAGAGGAGGGUGGAAUUCCUGGUGUAGCGGUGAAAUGCGUAGAUAUCAGGAGGAACACCGGUGGCGAAGGCGGCCCUCUAGUACGGUACUGACGCUGAGACGCGAAAGCGUGGGGAGCGAACAGG
rnacentral:rRNA from 1 species